GUCGGGGUGGCUCAGCCUGGUAGAGCGUCGGACUCAUAAUCCGAAGGCCGCGGGUUCGAUUCCCGUCCCCGACACCA
rnacentral:tRNA from 1 species